UAGCCAUGCAUGUCUAGUAUAAAUGUUAUACAGUGAAACUGCGAAUGGCUCAUUAAAACAGUUAUAGUUUAUUUGAUAAUCGAAUUUACAUGGAUAACCGUGGUAAUUCUAGAGCUAAUACAUGCUGUUAAGCCCNACUUUGNGGAAGGGCUGUNUUUAUUAAAUAACAAAUCAAUAUUCCUUGUGUCUAUUGUGNCGACUCAUAAUAACUGAUCGAAUCGCAUGGGCUUUGCCCGCGAUACAUCAUUCAAGUUUCUGCCCCAUCANCUUUCGAUGGUAGUGUAUUGGACUACCAUGGCUUUCACGGGUAACGGANGAUUAGGGUUCGAUUCCGGAAAGGGAGCCUGAAAAACGGCUACCACNUCUAAGGAAGGCAGCNGGCCCNUAAAUUACCCAAUCCUGACUCNGGGAGGUAGUGACAAGAAAUAACGGACCGNAGCAUUUGUNUCGGGAUUGCAAUGANUANAAUUUAAACCCCUUUACAACGAUCAAUUGGAGGGCAANUCU
rnacentral:rRNA from 1 species